GACGAAUGCUGGCGGCGUGCUUAACACAUGCAAGUCGAACGGAAAGGCCCUGCUUUUGUGGGGUGCUCGAGUGGCGAACGGGUGAGUAACACGUGAGUAACCUGCCCUUGACUUUGGGAUAACUUCAGGAAACUGGGGCUAAUACCGGAUAGGAGCUCCUGCUGCAUGGUGGGGGUUGGAAAGUUUCGGCGGUUGGGGAUGGACUCGCGGCUUAUCAGCUUGUUGGUGGGGUAGUGGCUUACCAAGGCUUUGACGGGUAGCCGGCCUGAGAGGGUGACCGGCCACAUUGGGACUGAGAUACGGCCCAGACUCCUACGGGAGGCAGCAGUGGGGAAUAUUGCACAAUGGGCGGAAGCCUGAUGCAGCAACGCCGCGUGCGGGAUGACGGCCUUCGGGUUGUAAACCGCUUUCGCCUGUGACGAAGCGUGAGUGACGGUAAUGGGUAAAGAAGCACCGGCUAAUUACGUG
rnacentral:rRNA from 1 species